UGCAAUAGUCAUUCUCACGAUAGAAGUGGCAUAAAGCUUAAGAACGGAAUAUACUUUUAUCGUUUUCCAGCGCUGAAAUAUAAUAGUACAAGCCAUGUUUCAGAGGUGACAAAAAGGCGACGAAUGGCAUGGAUAGCAGCGGUAAGGAGGCCAAGAUUACCUUCGAUAACACUCCACCACACAUGAUGGUGUGUUCAAAGCAUUUUCACAAAGACACUACACCUGCACCUGAGAUGGAAGGUCCUGUGAAUCCACCCCCAUCACCGGGCACUGUCCACACCACUCAUGAGACUGAGCUGAAGACUUUGCUGGAUAAAAUUGUGGUUGUGUGCUGUGCUUUGACCAAUAUGUGUCCAAGUAUUGUUGUGAAGGCGUCAUGUUAGAAUUAUACACCAUGCUCACAUCUAAUAUGUAAAUGUUUUUUUUUUUUCAAAA